UACGGAGGGGGCUAGCGUUGUUCGGAAUUACUGGGCGUAAAGCGCACGUAGGCGGAUCAGUCAGUUAGGGGUGAAAGCCCAGGGCUCAACCCUGGAACUGCCUUUAAUACUGCUGGUCUGGAGGUCGAGAGAGGUGAGUGGAAUUCCGAGUGUAGAGGUGAAAUUCGUAGAUAUUAGGAGGAACACCAGUGGCGAAGGCGGCUCACUGGCUCGAUACUGACGCUGAGGUGCGAAAGCGUGGGGAGCAAACAGG
rnacentral:rRNA from 1 species